CCGUGUCUAUCGUACCUUGUUGCUUCGGCGGGCCCGCCGUUUCGACGGCCGCCGGGGAGGCCUUGCGCCCCCGGGCCCGCGCCCGCCGAAGACCCCAACAUGAACGCUGUUCUGAAAGUAUGCAGUCUGAGUUGAUUAUCGUAAUCAGUUAAAACUUUCAACAACGGAUCUCUUGGUUCCGGCAUCGAUGAAGAACGCAGCGAAAUGCGAUAAGUAAUGUGAAUUGCAGAAUUCAGUGAAUCAUCGAGUCUUUGAACGCACAUUGCGCCCCCUGGUAUUCCGGGGGGCAUGCCUGUCCGAGCGUCAUUGCUGCCCUCAAGCACGGCUUGUGUGUUGGGCCCCCGUCCCCCUCUCCCGGGGGACGGGCCCGAAAGGCAGCGGCGGCACCGCGUCCGGUCCUCGAGCGUAUGGGGCUUUGUCACCUGCUCUGUAGGCCCGGCCGGCGCCAGCCGACACCCAACUUUAUUUUUCUAAGGUUGACCUCGGAUCAGGUAGGGAUACCCGCUGAACUUAAGCAUA
rnacentral:rRNA from 1 species